CUCCCCUGCAUGGCUGCGGGAGCACCUCCUCAGGCGCCACCCGGCUCUCAGAGAGACCGAGACACGGGCGCUGCCAUGGAGAGGCCCCUCUGCUUCCUCAGAGACUCGGAAGACAGCAGCGGGGAGGAAUGUGCAAGGGGCGUGGCACAAGCAGAGCAGGGCGGGCACAGGUCUCCCAGGGGGCCAGCGCCGGCGGGAGGGGCACAGGUCUCCCAGGGGGCCAGCGCCGGCGGGAGGGGCACAGGUCUCCCAGGGGGCCAGUGCCGGCGGGAGGGGCACAGGUCUCCCAGGGGGCCAGUGCUGGAGGAAGGGGCACAGGUCUCCCA